UUAACAUUUUCAAUAUAAAUUAAAUUUAGUUAAAUACUUCGUCACAAGUUCCAUUGAUUGACAUACCUAUGAUGAAGCUUUUUCUAAUUUCUUGAACCUUGCUUCUGCAAUGAGUGAAGAUCAGCAGAAUUAAACAAUUACACAAUUGGUCCCAGAAGUCUUAUCAGUGUCUCAAAAUGCAGGAAAUACAUCCACAAAAGUCAAUGUUUUGUUCUAACUUGUAAUAGCCUUAUUGUGUGUGACCACAUUUUGUCACUUCUGAAGGUGAAGGUUUCCCUGACAAGGAAUAUUGCUUUUUGGCCAAAACUAUAGACAAGUUCAGAAGUCAACAACAAAAAAUCUGUCCAGCUAACUUUGAAAUUAAAACUCUUCGUUAUCAAACAUUACUAAAGGGCCAUGUUUUUCACAAGUGACAAUGCAUACCUAACUCUUUUGUGUACAUGUCUAGUUUGAUAGCUGCUUCUUCUAAAUUUGCAACACUUGCAUCUACUUUAUCAAUCAUUUCCAUAUAUGGUUUCAGAUUUUCGUCUAAAUGUAAGGUUGUAUUUUAGCGAAUAGUCAAAACAUACAGUCUUAUUAUGUCUUAAUUCUUAUAUCAAGACACUUACAUUUAACAUUAAUUUGUUCCAUUUUGUUAUCAAACCUUUAGUGACAUUAUCCAUUUCCAUAUAUUUCUGUGUCGUCAAACGAUUCAGCUUUUGUAAUAAAUCAUAAUCGUCCAAGGAAGCUAAACAUGUUAAUAUGACUAAUUUAUCAAUUACCAGAAACGAAUACUUUUAAAAUCAAAUUCAACAUUGUAGUUAUUGUUAUUGAUAACUUGUUGUCGUCUAUGUAUCUAAACUUUAUCAUUAAGAUGAACAAACCAUUUAAUUCGCCUUGUAAAUAUUCAGUUAUCGUUUUGAACAUAUCUUGACAUGAUUUA